rnacentral:lncRNA from 1 species
UUCAGUAACAUAAUUGAACAUCAAAAGACAACACUCAAGCUCAAUUCGACUUCCUUUUCAUUUCAUUCUCUCAACUUUACAUCUCGAUGAAGUAGGAAGUGUACCUGAGAUUAAAAUGCAAAAGUGAAGUGGAGAUGAAGGUCAGUCAAGGCAGUAGUGAAUCACAACUUAGAGUCAACACAGCAAAUAGAUUUCAAACCCAGAAAAUACACAGGAACCAACAGCAAACAGUCAGAUAUCACUAGCAGCAAUGAAAAUCACACGACUGAACCCCCCAACGUAUUCGAGAUUACCCAAAACCCCUUGAAAUUGAACUAAAUAAGGCUUGGCUGAUCAGGAACUCGACCUAGAGCUAAUUUAAGCUCGAUUUUCAUAUUUUUUUAAAAUGGAACAGUACACUAUGGAAAAUUUAACUGUUUUAUUUUGGUUUUCUCUUUUCUGAUUUUUUUGAAUUUUUUGGUUUGGUUUUUGAAAUUGAAAUGAUGCUUCAGAUCUUAAAACUACUAAUGAAAGGGAAUUUUCUGGGGAAAUUUUGAGCUUAAAAAUAGGCAAACAAAACAGCUCCUUAUUUUCCUUUAGCCCCUUAUGAAAUUUCACUCUAGUCCCUUAGUUCUUUUACUUACUCAGCAAGCUAACACACAUGUUUAUUCAUAUUCCAUUAUGACCCCCCAAUUUAGAAGCUUCUAAGGUAUUCUAGCCUAAAUUCCUUAUGUGUAUUUCCUAUCAUACCCUUAACCUUUCCCUGAACUAUCUCAUGUUUUACCAGGUUAAUCAAAGAUCAUUAUCAACUUGAAGGCAAGUACACUUAAACCAUACUGAUAAAAACUAAUGUAAAGGCUAAAUUAACCAAAAACACCAAUUAUAAUUCAAUAAACAAACUAAAACCCUAAUAGAACAAACAAGAACCAGAAUCAACCUAAUAAACUAAUUAACAAAACUAAUUUCGAAAUUCCAGAAUUCAAUCACGCAGGAAACAAAAAUAAAGAUUGCAUCACAUGUAAAAACAGACAACAAGAAAAAUGAAAUGAAAACUAGAGCAGUCCCUGACGAAAAAGAACUCCGGCCAAUCACUACUUCAAAACUCGGCCAAUUCUGAUGACUCUUGGCUCUAAAUGACACUCAAAUCCUCACGAGGGAGGCCCAGGGAUCCUUUGACGUCAAUUGCAUGUGCUUUGGUCGUUUUAGGGGAUUGGCCGGAGAAGUAAAAAUUAAUAUUCGAGCCCGUCCGGAUACAUUCGAGAAAAAAGACCAUGAGGGUUGGGUAGAGGAGACUCGGGCGGUUCCAGGGUGUUAUUUUGGGGCCGUUUGGCAUAACCGACGUCAUGGCCAGAAAAUCUUCAACGAGAUAUUCGAGGGAAGGCACUAGCAGGGAUGGAAAGAGGGUGAUCUAGGGAACUUAUGGUGUAAAUUUGGGACGGGUUGGCAUAGGUUUCAGUCGAUGCCGGCGGUGGUUCCGGCGAGGUUCAGAGAAUCUGUACGAGGAAGAAAGGAACGGUCUUUUGGAUUUAUU